GAUGAACGCUGGCGGCGUGCCUAAUACAUGCAAGUCGAGCGAACAGACGAGGAGCUUGCUCCUCUGACGUUAGCGGCGGACGGGUGAGUAACACGUGGAUAACCUACCUAUAAGACUGGGAUAACUUCGGGAAACCGGAGCUAAUACCGGAUAAUAUAUUGAACCGCAUGGUUCAAUAGUGAAAGACGGUUUUGCUGUCACUUAUAGAUGGAUCCGCGCCGCAUUAGCUAGUUGGUAAGGUAACGGCUUACCAAGGCAACGAUGCGUAGCCGACCUGAGAGGGUGAUCGGCCACACAGGAACUGAGACACGGUCCAGACUCCUACGGGAGGCAGCAGUAGGGAAUCUUCCGCAUUGGGCGAAAGCCUGACGGAGCAACGCCGCUUGAGUGAUGAAGGUCUUCGGAUCGUAAAACUCUGUUAUUAGGGAAGAACAAAUGUGUAAGUAACUAUGCACGUCUUGACGGUACCUAAUCAGAAAGCCACGGCUAACUACGUG
rnacentral:rRNA from 1 species